rnacentral:rRNA from 1 species
GAUGAACGCUAGCUACAGGCUUAACACAUGCAAGUCGAGGGGAAACGGCAUCGAAAGCUUGCUUUUGAUGGGCGUCGACCGGCGCACGGGUGAGUAACGCGUAUCCAACCUGCCCAUCACUUGGGAAUAACCUUGCGAAAGUAAGACUAAUGCCCAAUGACAUCCCACGAAGGCAUCCGAAUGGGAUUAAAGAUUUAUCGGUGAUGGAUGGGGAUGCGUCUGAUUAGCUUGUUGGCGGGGUGACGGCCCACCAAGGCAACGAUCAGUAGGGGCUCUGAGAGGAAGGUCCCCCACAUUGGAACUGAGACACGGUCCAAACUCCUACGGGAGGCAGCAGUGAGGAAUAUUGGUCAAUGGGCGAGAGCCUGAACCAGCCAAGUAGCGUGCAGGAUGACGGCCCUAUGGGUUGUAAACUGCUUUUAUAAGGGAAUAAAGUGGGUCACGUGUGACUUUUUGCAUGUACCUUAUGAAUAAGGACCGGCUAAUUCCGUG